GGUGGCUCAGUGAUAGAGCACUUGCCUUGCAUGCAUGAGGCCUUGGGUUUGAUUCCCCAGCACCA
rnacentral:tRNA from 1 species